GAAUUAAUCCACUUGAGAAACCUCUGCAGGAGGUCAACCACGAAUUUGGCCGCUCGGUCAAAGAAGCCUUCGCCUUGUUGAUCUACCUCGUCAGGAUUGUCGAUGUCCAUUCCGUCCACUUCGGCUUGUCUUCGGUGCCUGCCCAGUACAUGUGGCUCUAUCAUAGCAGCUUUCUCUAACGUAUUGAGAAACUCAAUGUCUUGUGAAAGAAACUGAACAACUGCAUUUUCGAAAUCUUUCUCUGAUUUGAAUGGUUUUGGAGCCCCAAAAACUGAGCCGCACAAAAUCCCAGUCAAACCAAU
rnacentral:misc_RNA from 1 species